GUGGGGAAUAUUGGACAAUGGGGGGAACCCUGAUCCAGCCAUGCCGCGUGUGUGAAGAAGGCCUUUUGGUUGUAAAGCACUUUAAGCGAGGAGGAGGCUACCGAGAUUAAUACUCUUGGAUAGUGGACGUUACUCGCAGAAUAAGCACCGGCUAACUCUGUGCCAGCAGCCGCGGUAAUACAGAGGGUGCAAGCGUUAAUCGGAUUUACUGGGCGCAAAGCGCGCGUAGGUGGCCAAUUAAGUCAAAUGUGAAAUCCCCGAGCUUAACUCGGGAAUUGCAUUGGAUACUGGUUGGCUAGAGUAUGGGAGAGGAUGGUAGAAUUCCAGGUGUAGCGGUGAAAUGCGUAGAGAUCUGGAGGAAUACCGAUGGCGAAGGCAGCCAUCUGGCCUAAUACUGACACUGAGGUGCGAAAGCAUGGGGAGCAAACAGGAUUAGAUACCCCAGUAGUCC
rnacentral:rRNA from 1 species